CCUAGUUUUUUAUGUGAUCUGUCAGCUGCCGCAGCCUGAGCGGACAUUAACAUCACAAACAUGACUAAAAUCUGGGAUCUGAUUCGACCUAAUUUUCUUUUCAUUUUCUCUCUAAUCUUCAACAUUCUUAUUCCCCUUUUGUUUUCUCUUAGGAUCUGACAGCUCCCUUCUCUCACCAACACCAAUCUUUGUUAAAACUCUCGCAUAUGCUGUCUCGUGAAUCUCACAGUCAUGGGAAAAAACCUCGCCGCCGAGAAAUGAAUUUCCCAAAUUCGAAACCAUAAUGGAUCUGGAGAAAGCAGGUACGAUGUGUUUCAUCUCAAGCAGAUAUGUCGAUCCUUGUUAGAUGUUCGUCCUUAAAAGGAUACUCAAAAAGGCUUGCUGAGGUUUUCUCAAAGGAUGUCAUAUCUUUCUUGGCUAGCUGUCAAAACUUGGUUCCACGACCGUGGGUCAUUGAUGACUUGGACAACUUCCAAGCCAAAUGGAUCAAGAAGCCUUGGAAGAAGGCAGUGAUUUUUGUUGAUAAUUCUGGUGCCGACAUAAUUUUGGGUAUUUUGUCGUUUGCAAGAGAGUUGCUCCUUCGUGGAACUCAGGUAUGUACUUUUGACAAUGACCGAGUCUUUCUCUUUUUAUUUCACCUUGAAGGUGCUUCUAGCUGCUAACGAGCUGCCAGCGAGCUGCCAGCUAUCAACGAUGUAACAUAUACAAAGCUUACUGAUAUCGUGUCUCAGGUGAUGAAUGAAGUAAUUCUUGAUUUUAACUAGUUUAAAGAAAAGUGAAUCUGGUUUAUUAGACUUAAUCUACCAGUUGAAGGAUGAGAAUGGCCAAUUGUUAGGUGUUGAUACUUCAAAGCUUAUUAGUGAAGCGCAAUCAAACAAAGUAUUUAACUAAUCUUGGCUUAGUUAACUUAGCAGCCGUUUUAUUCAGGGUUGUGGAAUCGAGACAAACCUUUAUGCUCAGUUUCAAGUGUGAUUCUCUCAAUAUUGGAAUGGAUAUGAAGUCUAUGUUGAUCAUGUUGCCACGUAUUUGGCAAGUGGAGGGGAGGGUUGCUGGUGUUGAUUUGGGAUCUAGAAAAUUUCAAUUUGAUUUUGAUGUGGAGGCUUAUAUUAUUGAAGUUUUGAAGAUAGAACCAUUAUAUUUCGACUGUUGGAUAGUUUCUUUGGUUCGGUGGACACCAGUGGUGGAUCCAGCUUAUUCGUUGUCUCUUGAGUUUUGGAUCCGUGUUACUGAUGUUCCUAUUCAGUUCUUAGCAGAUCCUACUUUUAGAGAUAUUGGAUCUUAUUUGGGUACCGUCUAAGAUGUGGAUAUAGAUAGAGGGUGUGUGCAGGUCACCAUUGAUGGUCUAAGGCCUCUAUGUUUUGAAACAAAUUGAGUUUUUAAAGGUGAGGAAACGAUUGUUAAGCUCUUUUUUGAGCGGUUAUAUGGUUGCUGUAAAGUUUGUUUCAACUUGUGUCAUGAUGAGACGAUGUGCCCACAGUCUCUAGGGUUUGCUUAAGGAGGUAACUUGGUUUGCUCGGAGGAGGAUCAGGGGAAGGGUCAACAUAUGAGCUAGAAGGGUGCUGUUUUGGGAGAUACGAGGAGGGGUGCUAGUAAUGUUGGGGCGAUUAAGGGCAGUCAUAAAGGGUCUCCCAAGUCUAGGGACAUACUAGUUUGGACGAGAAUCCUCGUCUGGUCCUAAGGGAUCUUCCAAUCUAGGAUUCCAUCAGGAGCAUCAGGAGAAACAUGGUGUAUAUCAGGGUCAGACAAGGCAGCGAUCCGAUCUAGUCCGGCUGUCGGUUUCUGCGGGGUUAAAGGAGACAGAGGUGGAUCAACAAAAUAUUAACUACAGAUUUUUUUGGCACGUCAAGUGCGUACAUCUCCACAUAAUGUCUUGUCUGUGAAUCUUUUCUCACCUAAUUAGCUUAUAUGAGCUGAUUUACUUCCAUAGGACCCAUCCUUACAAUAGCAGACAAAUUUCCUGAAGUCUGAUUGCAUCCACAAGCACCCUUAGAUUCAAUGCACCUUGAACAGUUUCCAUUAUGCUCAACCUGGAAACCCUUUUGAAGAGUCUUCUGUAGAUUAUCUAGACGCGAUGUGUUCAAGGCCGAUGCAUACACUGGUAUACUGACACCUUUUUUGCAAUUUUCCCUCAAGUUGUCAGAUUGAAGGUCGUUACUGUCGUAUAGUGAAGGAGAGGAGACGUUUCUCGUCACAGUAGUUUGUUGAAGCUCUUUUAUCACUUCCACAAUGAAGCUCUCCUAAGUAAGAAGCAUCAAGAGAUGAAAGUUUUUAGCAGCCGUAAUAAAUUGUUAGCAUCUCGAUCUGAGGAGCGAAUGGAAGUACACUGUCAAGGAAUGUUGCAUUCACUGCGUCUAGGGGACACAUAUUGUUUAUGUAAUCCAAUCUUGCGAGUCUUAUGAUACCAGAGUCAUAAUUGGCUUCUAAGAUUCUGUACGUCGCUAAGGAGAUGGUUAGCUCUGCGAAUUCUUUGCUACAAUCAAGCUUGAAAUAGGGAUGGCCACAGUCUUCUCUCCCACGUACCAAGAAUGGGUACAAGAGACUGGCCUGAUCCCCGCAUCGAAAUGGUUGACUGGAGCGUUCGUAAUGCUCAUAAGCUGAUUAAAAAGAACAAUUUGAGAUCACACAAAGGCUUUGUGACAAAGCCAUCCCUAAGAAAACUCUAUGCUUUAAAAUUCGAAGAACACAUCUUAUAUAAUAAGAGAAGGUUUUUUCUAAUAUUGUCUCACAAUGUGACAUUUGACACUGUACUUUUGUGACACAUGCCAUUCUUAUUAAUUUCAAAUUUAACAUUCUAUUUU